rnacentral:pre_miRNA from 1 species
ACUACCUGGGGAUCUUGUUAAAAUGCAGAUUCCAAUUCAGGAGGUCUGGAGUGUGGCCUGAAGUCUGCAUUUCUAGCAAGAUCCCAGGUGAUGUCGA